rnacentral:rRNA from 1 species
GAUCAUGGCUCAGGAUGAACGCUAGCUACAGGCUUAACACAUGCAAGUCGAGGGGCAGCAUGGGGUAGCAUACUCAGAUGGCGACCGGCGCACGGGUGAGUAACACGUAUCCAACCUGCCGCUUACUCGGGGAUAGCCUUUCGAAAGAAAGAUUAAUACCCGAUGGUAUAAAGAGUUCGCAUGUUCUCUUUAUUAAAGAAUUUCGGUAAGCGAUGGGGAUGCGUUCCAUUAGAUAGUUGGCGGGGUAACGGCCCACCAAGUCUACGAUGGAUAGGGGUUCUGAGAGGAAGGUCCCCCACAUUGGAACUGAGACACGGUCCAAACUCCUACGGGAGGCAGCAGUGAGGAAUAUUGGUCAAUGGACGAGAGUCUGAACCAGCCAAAAGUAGCGUGAAGGAUGACUGCCCUAUGGGUUGUAAACUUCUUUUAUAAGGGAAUAAAGUGAGGGACGUGUCCCUUUUUGUAUGUACCUUAUGAAUAAGGAUCGGCUAACUCCGUGCCAGCCGCCGC